rnacentral:lncRNA from 1 species
UUGUGAAUUACUGUCAGCACAGGGCUGGCUUAAGGAAAUCUGCCUGAUGGGAGUUCUGUUUUGCUGGCAGUUACAUAAUCUAGCAAUCAGGAUCUGUGACUGUGGUUUGAUUCAGGGAGAUACCACACAAAACUGCAGAAUUGUGUCUCUUUAAAUAAUUUUUUGAUUGUUAUAUACAAUUCCAGCACACAUGGGUAACGUGUUAUUGUUCAACUUUUGUAAUAUGGAUGUAUUUUAAAAAUCAAAUCCUUUCUGUUAAGGAAUUUGUAUCCUGAGAAAAUGUUCAUUGCUUUGUAGAAUAUAACUUUAUGGAAUUAAAAGGAGUGAUCAUGGAAAAUGAAUCCUCUGUUUUUCAUGUGAGCUAAAUAUUCUACACAAGUGGAUUGAACUUUCUCUCUGAAAAGGGCCAGGUGAUAACUGUUUCUGAUUUCCAGGCCCAUGCUGUCUCUUUUGCAGCUUCUCAGUUCUGUUCCUGUACCAUGAGAGCAGCCCGAGACAGCAUGCAAGUAAAUUGGCAUGGCUGGUUUCCAGCAAUACUUUCCGUGUAGAAACAGGUGGCAGAGUGCAUUUGGUCUGCAGGCCCAUAACUUGUCAAUUUCUUAACCAUGUAUUAAGGAGGAAAAACAAAGUCAUUUCUUGCUGGAAUUUCUUUUGAUCUAAAUAAGCUACUAAUCUGUCAAUAGAUGUGGUUGCAACUCUUGGCCAUAAGCUAUAGUAAAAUGCCACUCAAAUGGCAAAUAUGUAUCAAGU